CCUCCUCUGCCCUGCUCUCCGUGGGGACAGCUGGCCUUCCAGCCCAGCUUCCUCUCUGUCUGGGCUGCCUCCCUCCCUCUCUGCUUUCUUUCCCAAAGGCUCUGCUCUGCAAACCGGCUGCAAACCAGGAGCCACCCCCCCGGGGGCCCAGCUGGUAAUUUCCCGGUGCUGGAAGGUGUGUCUUUCUUCCUCCCCUCUGGGAGGUGGGGGAGGAAGUGAGCCUAAUUCAUCCCACCCCACGUUUCCCAAACCCGACUGGACGAUCUCGGGCCACGUCCUGCAGGCUGGAGGCCAUUGUUCAUUCAGGGACUCGGAGAGACCUGUGGUGACCAGCUCAGGAAUGGAGCUUCGUCUCUAAAGAUUUCUGUAAGUCCGACAAAUCUGCUACAGCCCAUCACUGCUGACCCGCCUGCUGGCAUCCCAGCCACAGGACUCUGUGUCCAGAGCAGAGCUCCCCUGGAGAUGUCUGCAGUGAGUCCUGGAGCCGCCUUGACGGGGGAGGUAGGAAGCCUCAUCUGUGUGUCUGGUCUGGUACUAAUUAGCUGUGUGACCUUGGGCAUGUCACUUAACCUCUCUGGUCUGUUUACUCUUCCGUUGAAUGGCGUGCCGGAUUAACUCAUUUGGAAGUUCCUUUGAGCACAGAAGUCCGUGAGGAGGGGAGGGCUCCUAGCCCGGUGCCUAGGAGAGAGCAGGCCUUCGAGAGAUACUUCAUAAACGCCGAUGGACUGUGUGGGCUGCAGGGUGGACCUCGAUGGGUCUGCAGAGAGGGUUUAUCUCUGGCUUUGGAGUGGAACUGAGCUCACUCUUGGCUCUGCCACUAACUGGACAUUUGCCCUCUGGCAGCUUAUUUCUCUGAGCCUCAGUUUACCCAUCUGUAGGCUUGGGGCAUAGUGUAUCUUUGUGGGGGUGUUGUAAGUUUUCAACGUGAUAACAAACGAGAGUGUGUGAGAGUGUGUGCAUGUGAGUGAGUGUGUGAUGGGGGGGACAGUGGAGAAAAAAUAUUUAAUACGUGACCUUUUUUUAUUGGAGUGAAAUUCAAUAACAUACAAUUAGCUAUUUUAAAGUGUACAAUUCAGUAAAUAAUCUUUUAAAAAGA
rnacentral:lncRNA from 1 species